AACACGUGGGUAACCUGCCUGUAAGACUGGGAUAACUCCGGGAAACCGGGGCUAAUACCGGAUGCUUGAUUGAACCGCAUGGUUCAAUCAUAAAAGGUGGCUUUUAGCUACCACUUGCAGAUGGACCCGCGGCGCAUUAGCUAGUUGGUGAGGUAACGGCUCACCAAGGCGACGAUGCGUAGCCGACCUGAGAGGGUGAUCGGCCACACUGGGACUGAGACACGGCCCAGACUCCUACGGGAGGCAGCAGUAGGGAAUCUUCCGCAAUGGACGAAAGUCUGACGGAGCAACGCCGCGUGAGUGAUGAAGGUUUUCGGAUCGUAAAACUCUGUUGUUAGGGAAGAACAAGUACCGUUCGAAUAGGGCGGCACCUUGACGGUACCUAACCAGAAAGCCACGGCUAACUACGUGCCAGCAGCCGCGGUAAUACGUAGGUGGCAAGCGUUGUCCGGAAUUAUUGGGCGUAAAGCGCGCGCAGGCGGUUUCUUAAGUCUGAUGU
rnacentral:rRNA from 1 species